GGGGGAUGAUCGGGGUCCGGGGGGGCUGACCGGGCUCUGAGCGCUCUGGUUGGAGUUCACAGGCUCUGACUGGGCUCUGACGGGUUUCUGGGGCUCUAACGGGGCUGCAGCUCCAGCCUGUUCUCCACACAGAAAAUCCAUCUCCUCCUGUUCCUGACUGGAACGUUCUGAAUUACUCCUGAGAUAGAGGGAAUGCAGAGUGCCUUAAAUAUAAACAAUACAGACCAAGUGGCACAGAAAUCAAUUAGCCCCGUGCAUAGAAGAGGCACAUGUCCAGGUUAUCUGCCAUUUAGUGUAAAUCCUCACGGGAUGCUGCUGGGAUCCUCCACACCUGCUGUUCUACUCACCCCGCUGCAUGUCCACAUCCCACUGUGCACGUGCUGUACAUUUACAGGAGCUAGACUAAGUUAUUCUGACAACCUGGCUUUUUCCUUUCAUAAUACGUCACUAAGAGUCAAAGACAUCAUUUUGUGCAACAGGAAAGGUCCAUGAAUAGUUUCCCUGGCUCCUCAAUCCUACCUGUCUCGCUCCCCCCAGGUGUUUCUGCACAGGGCCUUGUUCCAGUCCCACUCCUGCCCUCUCUGCCUUGGCUAUGGACAACCAGGGCCUGGGACCCCGGGGCAAGGCCAGGAAUGCCCAGCAUGGAGCACCAAGCACAGGCACAAACCAAGGGCUGUGUGUGAGCUGUGCUGUGUUUUUGCCAGAGGGAUGUAGGCGGGAGCAGGAAUGUGGACAGGAUUGAUCUGGGGCUUCCAGAACUGCUCCACCAAACUGACCGGUGUGUCACAGGGCCGGAAUGACUGACAGGGCCAUUCCCUCACCCCAGGGAGUGUCACCAGGUGAGUCAGGAGGUACGAGGACCAGGUGUUCAAACAGUCACUUUGCAGUUUAUUCACUGCCCCGGUGCUGCCCAGAGCUGUGCUGAAUGCUGAGACUCACGGACUAAGACAGUCGUUUCACACCAGAAAGUGCAUAACCCAAGGGGCUGGGGAGAGAACAGGGAGACCCUGUGCGGGUGAGACGGACCUGCCUGGGCUGGGAAGCGCGGUGUGGACCCGGAGAGUGGAGGUUGGUGAUGCAGGGCUGCGUUUUCCCAAGAUGGGCAUCGAAGCUCCCAGCUGAGGCUUCCAGCAGUGCCUGCAGAGAGAUGGCCCGUGGGGCGGAUGGGCUGUCCAGGCACUGCAGGAGCUGCUCGCUGUCCUUCUCAGGGACAGUCGAAAUUAGCCAGAGGGUGAGACUAAUUAUUGUUUCCCCCUCCCAACUGCAGAGGAUUAAAGUUCUCUGUGCGUGGAACCGCUCAGAUAAAUUGUUUCCAGCUCUCCCUGGGCAGCCAGGUUUGGAUGCAGCCGAAGCCAAAGUCAUGUGUGGUACCUGCUUUCAGGGGAACAAUGCAGAGUUCCAGCUUACAGUGGUCUCCAGAGGGUUCAUGGAACUUGGCGUUUUUAAUGAGGCUGCAGAGACAAUGGUGUGAGUUCCCAGGAAACACUGAUGAGGAAGCCCACAUCCACCACUCUUUGGAAAGAAAAGCAGAAAUUUUAUACCAAGUAACAUACUUUUUCUGAUAUUAAAGAGACACCAAAAUAGUGUCUUGAAUAAACACUUGAAAUAGUUUCAGGCUGAGAUGUUCUCAUUGCUUGGUUCUUACCUGAUAUGAUUCAGAGAUGUUUAUUUCCUGUAAAUAUUGGCUUAGGCUGGAGACCAGGAUUUCCAAAGUGGUAUCUCCAAAGAUUAACUGCUCUGAGGAAAACUUUUAACUGGGAAUUCAUAAACCUCCUAAGAACAGUUGUCUUUGAGCUUUUAUAUGGAAACAAUAAACCUCUCUUCGACAGAAACUUGAAAUCACGUUGAGAUUUAAUAGCUCUGCAAAUGGAGAGCUGAAUGUGUGAAACAGGAUAAAUGGAUUCAUCUGGACUGCUCGACCCAGGGUUCCUCAAGCCUUUACACAGCCCAGGAGGGAAAAAGCUGAACUGCUGCUGUUGACCCAUCUGAUGUGUUUUCUGUCAUCACAAACUUCCAGGGAAAAUGGAUGUCAGGAUUGCUCUGUCUGCAAACAAACAAGUCCUAUGGCUGCUCCUCAGUUCUCAGUGCUGGAAAGGCAUCAGAAAAGGAAAUCAUACUUAGUACAAGCAGCUGGGAUGUUGUUUAUAAUUCUUUUCUUGGUUUUGACAGUAGCUCCCAUCAGGGAAAGUGGCCCAAAGAACUGCUAUGAAGUGCCCUGAACCUACAGAGAGCUUGCAACUUGCCUUCUUCCUGGAAAAUGCCUUAGCCAGAGAAGCUAGGAUUUGGAAGGUGCCAGUUUUCCAGAAUCUCACCCUGAAGGUAUCCUCCCCUGUCCCCUUUAGGAUUCCCUACAGGAGCUCUGCAGAGAUGCACUGCUGGUCCUGCCAUCUGACCCCUGAAUGCAAAGUCAUCCCACAUGGACCAGGCUUAAGGAAUGGAGGAGGAGGAGGGUAAUCCCAUUGGUGCAGACACUGGUGGUGCAGAGCAGCUGUAAAUGCUCUCCAGCCGAGAUCUUGAGAAUGGAAAGAAUUAUCCUGGAUGAGCUUCAGUAGGAUCUUUACACAGCAACACCAAUGGAUUUCUUAAACACUUCCCAUGCCAUGUGAUGUCCUGCUGGCUCCAUCUCCCCCCAGCUGCCUCAGAGGAAUCCUUCCCUCCACGUCGCGCUCUUCACCAGGCAGC